GUUAUCGGGAAAAGGCAAGGUGCCGCCCACGGGCGGAGAAUUGGGAAGCCGGUGAAAAUCCGGCACUGCCCCCGCAACGGUAAAGGUGUUGUACGGGCGCGGUAUGACCACUGGGGAAGAGGAGCCCCGGGAAGGUGCCGCGCGCAGGUCCGAGCAGGGCCGCACCGCAGUCCGGAAACCAGCCUUGCACGAGACGUCAAA
rnacentral:ncRNA from 1 species